GACGAACGCUGGCGGCGUGCUUAACACAUGCAAGUCGAACGGAAGGACCAGAAUUUUGCUUCUCUGUUGUUAGCCGCGCACGGGUGAGUAACACGUGGAUCAUCUACCUAUAUGACUGAGAUAAUUUCGGAAAACCGGAGCUUAUACCGGAUAAUCUUUUGAACCGCAUGGUUGAAAAGUAAGAGACGGUCUUUCUGUCAGUUAUAGCUGGUUCUGCGCUGCAUUAGCUAGUUGGUGCGGUAACGGCUUACCAAGGCGACGAUGCAUAGCCGACCUGCGAGGGUGAUCGGCGACACUGGAACUGGGACACGGUCCAGGCUCCUACGGGAAGCAGCAGUAGGGAAGGGGACGCAAGGGGCGAGAGCCUGACGGAGCAGCGGCGCGCGAGUGAUGAAGAUGUUGGGAUCGGGAUACUCUGCUAUUAGGGAAGAACAGAUGUGUAAGUAGCUGUACAGAUCGUGACGGUACCGGAUCAAGAAGCCACGGCUAACUACGUG
rnacentral:rRNA from 1 species